rnacentral:tRNA from 1 species
GUUCUCUUGCAGCCAGUUGUGGAAGAUGCCGGAAUACGACUCAUAAUCGAUCGGUCCCAGGUUCGAGUCCUGGUGGGCCCACCA